UACGGGGGGGGCAAGCGUUGUUCGGAAUUACUGGGCGUAAAGGGCCAGUAGGCGGCCAACUAAGUCGGAUGUGAAAUCCCCAGGCUCAACUUGGGAACUGCAUCCGAUACUGGAUGGCUUGAAUUCGGGAGAGGGAUGCAGAAUUCCAGGUGUAGCGGUGAAAUGCGUAGAUAUCUGGAGGAAUACCGGUGGCGAAAGCGGCUCACUGGACCAUUACUGACGCUGAUGCACGAAAGCUAGGGGAGCAAACAGG
rnacentral:rRNA from 1 species